UGGGGAAUAUUGCGCAAUGGGCGGAAGCCUGACGCAGCCACGCCGCGUGAGUGACGAAGGCCUUCGGGUUGUAAAGCUCUGUCGGGAGGAACGAAACGCCGGUGGGUUAAUACCUCGCCGGAAUGACUGUACCUCGCAAGAAAGCACCGGCUAACUCCGUGCCAGCAGCCGCGGUAAUACGGAGGGUGCAAGCGUUGUUCGGAAUUACUGGGCGUAAAGCGUGCGUAGGCGGUUUGAUAAGUCGGGUGUGAAAGCCCAGGGCUCAACCCUGGAACUGCACCCGAUACUGUCAAACUUGAGUGUGGGAGAGGGAAGCGGAAUUCCUGGUGUAGCGGUGAAAUGCGUAGAUAUCAGGAGGAACACCCGUGGCGAAAGCGGCUUCCUGGCCCAUUACUGACGCUGAGGCACGAAAGCGUGGGGAGCAAACAGG
rnacentral:rRNA from 1 species